rnacentral:sRNA from 1 species
UGAAAUACCAUCGCGUGCCUCCCUACC